AUUACUAGAAUUAAAGUUUAAGAUUCUGACAUCCAGACAGGAUCUUGCACUCAGAAAGUUCUGGCCCACCACGAAAGUGGCCCACCAUGAAAGACAGCAAGGAAGAAGUAUAUCAGAGAGUGCUUUAUCUCCCUCCCCCAAGAAGCCUGCAAAGCAUCACAAUGCUUAUCUCUUCUAGGUGGACCUGGGACACUAAGAGUUCCAGAUUCCAAGAUGGUCCCAUGCCUCUGGCCCAGGAGAAAGGAGCUGUGCCAGAAGCCUGGGGUUUGAACAUUAACUGUCCUGCUAAAGCCUGCCAGCCAUGUGCUCUCCGUGCUCCCCAAGAACUAUUUUACUCUUUGCAAGGGGAAAGAAUUAAAGACUCCCUUUUCCGCAAAAAUACCAUAGAGGUGUUUAGCACAUACUCUUCCCCGGCUAUCCGUGCCACUGAGGCAAUCCCACCCUCCUGUCAGAGGGUGCCUGGCAAGAGGUCAGCAACAAAUGAGCCAGACCAGGAUUAUCAGGAUCCAGAUGUAGGUGUGAAGGCCAGGAAAGGCAAUCCAGCAGGGCGGGAAGCAUCUGGAAGAUCCAUGCCUCCCUCAAGGCUUCAGGGGAUGGAGGUCAUCCUGUCUGGUCUCAGGCAACAAAGCUCCAGCCAUGAGCUCCAAGGACCUGAUGCAGAACUGUCAGCCACAGCAGCACAAAGAAGAGCAAGACAGGACUUCAGCGACUGAGAGCAGAGAAAUACACCCGGGGGUGGAGAAACGGGAAGGUCCAUCCCAGGAGUAAGGCUUGGCCACAAGAUCAUGGACAUUGGAACUUCAGGGAACCUUAGAGAGUCCUUCAACUCUCUGGUUCUAGGGAUCAGUAAAUGGGCCUAGGAAGGUUGAAUGAAUUGCCAGAGGUCACAACACGAAGUAGGGAGGGAAACCCAGGAGUUCUGACUCCCCUUCCAGUGCUCUUUCCAUGGUACCACCUCAAGGCUUGGGAUUCUGCCACAUGUCUGGUCCUACUAUUAUGAAACAUCUACUUUAGGUGGGGCACUGUGAUAAACCUAAACUUGGGAAAAGCCCAGCUCUAGACUUCCAGUGUGAUUCACGAGAUUGUAGCCAUGUUGUGGGACACCCCAAGCGUACGUUCAGCUCUUUGGACUGGCUCUUAAACCUUGUCAGUUGUAAAGAUGACAACAAAUGUGACAGAGAAACACAAGAUUGAUUUUCUAUGUUGAGAGCUACUCCUAAUUUAUCCACUCUAUAAUUGCCAAUAUUCCAUACCUUGAAAGACAUCUAUUCUAGCAGCUCAAGGUACGAUCUUAACUCCCUCUUCCCCCCACUCACCUCUCCCUAACACACAGCCCUUGGACUGCAAGAGUUCAAUAGUCUUCCCAAGGUCACAGAGCGAGCCAAGGGCAGGACAGAUAGAGAACAUCACGUCUUGACUUUCCAGGUCUCCAGUGCUGAACCUCCUCUCAACACUACCUCACCUUGCACAGAUGUCUGUCAGCAGAGGAGAAAAGGUCAUGCAAGCAGAAACUUCAUAAGCCACCGGAAUAAAGCACACACGUGGGUCUCGUCCUUGGGGAGGCCCACUGCAGGCAGAUGGAGGUGCAAGAAGAGAGGUUCACGAAGCUAAGAGUGUCUCCAGGCCAGAUGGUACUGAUUUAACAAAGGGUCUGUUUGCAGUGACAGAGGAAGACCCCAAACUCUGCCCCUCCCAUCAUGCAAGCCUCCCUGCUCUUCUUUUAAUAGAAGCAUUUUCCCUGCCUUUCUCCCUUCCCUCCAAAAAACCUCACAAAUAUGUUGUGUGAAAUAUCAGAACUAAUUAGACCAAA